UUAAUGUUCUGUAGGAUAUGUAGAAGGAGCAGUGAAGUUUAAGUCAGAUAAAAGAAAGCAAAGAAAGUAUUCUUUUUAGAUCGGCAUAGAACUGAUUAUGUUAAGCACAAUAGACGGAUAAACUUAUAAUAAUUAUAGAAGUUAGGGAUAGAACUGAUUAUGUUAGUUAUGAAAUGAAAACUAAAAAGAAAAAUAUUAUGGUGUAUAUGUGAUCAUUAUUUGUAAUGCAGUAAUUAAUAUAGAUGAAUAAGACCUUAAUAUACCAAAAACCCUCAAAAGCGCACUUACAUAUGCAUAUGAGAAUAUGAUCUCCAAGCUUUCUUCGGAUCUGGCUGUGAAUUGCUUCCAUGAGUGAAGCACUUUGAUUUGAAUCCGCCAAAAAGUUUUAAAAGGUUUAAUCUUGCUAAGAAAACUUAAUUUUACGACUGAUUAGUCUUUUUUUGUUAUUUGUGGUGAAUGCUUUUGUCAAGCUAUUGAUGAAUGUAGUUUUAUACCAUCUAUACCAUUUCAGCAUAUUCGUCAGUUUGUUAGAAACUAACGAUUUGUUUCGUUUCUGUGUCACAAAAAUUGAUUUGUGGAAGAUUGAGAACUAUAAUGAUUGGGCGCUAGUUUUUCUGCUUUAAUAUUUAGAUAUUAAGGUUUACGAUUUUUUUAUUUUUCUAAUUUCUAUUGUUUGUUAUUGAUUUGAAAAAGAUUUGCAACUACGAUAACAACCGGCACAGUAUUUGAAUAGUUAAAAAGAAAUUGGUAUAAUAAUAAAUUUGUUAU
rnacentral:lncRNA from 1 species